UACGAAGGAUUCGAGCGUUAUCCGGAUUUAUUGGGUUUAAAGGGUGCGUAGGUGGACUAGUAAGUCAGUGGUGAAAACCCGCAGCUUAACUGCGGAACUGCCAUUGAUACUGCUAGUCUUGAGUACAGUUGAGGUGGGCGGAAUGUGUCAUGUAGCGGUGAAAUGCUUAGAUAUGACACAGAACACCGAUUGCGAAGGCAGCUCACUAAGCUGUAACUGACACUGAGGCACGAAAGCGUGGGGAGCAAACAGG
rnacentral:rRNA from 1 species